CAGCCGCUUAAGCGGCUGAGGGGGAAAAGGAAGGGGCCUGAGGCUGUUAGGAAUGGUGGGAGUUGAAGUCCAAAACACCUAGAGGGCCCAAGUUGGCCCAGGCCUGCUUUAAAGGCUUAGAAGCCAUCCUUCUCAAGCUGUUGCUAGGCAACGCAGCACAGGCCAAGCUUUGAAAGGGAGCCAUACACGUCUCUGGCAAAAACCCUGCAAAGAAAAUCCCAUUUGUUUCAAAGAGCGGCCCAUAUUCUACAGCCAAGUUAUCUUUUUAAAAACCUGCCAGAUCUAGUUUAGGGUUUAAAACCGUUGCUGCUGCAAUUCUAGAACCAUAGUUAGGACAAAAAAGUCCAACAGCCCUAGGUCCCUUCCCUUUCUGAGGUUUGCUUUCUUGUUUCUGGGAGCUGGCUCCAUCCUGGUGACCUUUCCAAUAGUCAUGAGAAGCGAGAACUCACAGAAAUGUUCCAUUGAAGGAGUGUCGUUGACAAAAUCCCUCAUUGCUCGGAGAAACCUGGCUGUGCCAAUGGACGAUGAGACAUUGGAGAAUAUAUCCCAAGCUUUGAGUUCUCUUGAGAUCCUCCGGCUUGACAGGGAGAGAAUUAGCCAUAUCACAGAUUUGGAAGGUUUAGAACAGAUCCACAGCAUUUAUUUGCAACAGAACCAAAUAAAGAAAAUUGAAAACCUCAGCUGCCUUCCUAACUUGAAAUUCCUAUCAUUAGCUGGCAACCAAAUCAGCAAAGUGGAAAACCUUCGCACUCUCCUGAAGCUGCAGUUCUUGGAUCUUUCCCAGAACUGCAUUAAAACUCUAGACAUAGAUGAGCUGCCCCAGAGCCUUGUGGUCCUUGAUCUGACAGGAAAUAAAUGCACAAAUCAGAAUAGCUAUAGCUCAUGCAUUCUUGCCAUUCCAAGGGAACGUGUGUUGGCAGCCCUGCCCCUUCUGAAAGAACUGGAUACCAAGAGCACCCCCAGUUGGAAUACUCCUGUUCAAAGCAAGGAAGAAGAUAGUUCAGAAGACAGUGACUAUGAGGAAUGGCCUGGGCUCUCUCGUCCUUUGAGUGCAGAAAAAGACUUCUUUGUUGACCUCCAUGAGGAGUUCACCAGCCGCUCUGCCCGGAGAAGAGAGGAGGCAGUGAAGGAACAUGAGGCCCACCUGGAAGAACUGAAGCAGCAGCAGAAGCUGAGACAGUUAAUCUUUGACACAAGUCACGAUAGUCCCAAGGCACUGAGCACAUCCAAACUGGGACUACCAGUCCUGGAGUACAACAUGCUCCAGACCGAGCACCAUACAGCUUCAAACCAACACUUAAAAACAGAAAAUGCAUCAUUUUCUACCAGUGCUCCAAAAAAGAAGACUGAGGGAAAAAACCAAACCCAGCUAAAAAACCUUUAAGGAGAGGUGAUCCAUGCCCAGCAAGGCUUCCUCCUUCCCGACCGGUUCCUUGGUCCAGACCCCUUCAUUGCCGAUGCAGACCCCGUGUUCGUUGGCCCCCAUCUCGGCUCCCCACAGCCAGGCAGGCCGGCUCAGAAUAACUGCAUGAGUCCUUUCAACCUGCUCGACCUCAAUUUGCAUAGCGAUUCCUGAACUCAGAAGAUCAUCUAUGCCCAUCUUCUCCCCGCUCCUCGCCUGUUUCCAGACACUUCAGAAAUACUGUCCUUAUGAAGCAUGAUGGACGCAGGUAGGAAGUCCUCCUGCAUUGUCUGAUGGGCUCUGUUAUACAUCGUUUUCUGUCUGUAUUACAACUGGGGAGGGGGGCUACAUGGGAUAACGUCCUUAGUCGCACUUUUAUCAGCAGUUAUUUUCCUCCCACGUAACCAGUUUUCUUUUUGAUCAAUUCUCUUUACAAUUGGGGUGGGGGAGAGAAAUUAAUUCAGAGUACUCCACAGAUCAGAAAGGACUUCUUGUCCUGAGCUGCCACAGUGGUAUGAAAACAGACCAGUUUAGAGUGGCUGACGGAGCAGUUACCUCCCUCCUGUCAACGUGGAUGAUAAAUGAUGCAAGGUGGCCCCAGGAAAAUGGCUGGGAGCCGUUCUGCCAUGUCUGCUCUUGCAAGAGGGGUUCAGCAGGCAGCAGGCCUUGGCAUAGCCCCUAGCUACUUGAGAUCUUAAUAAUGUUCAGGAAGCAGGAAGUCAUCAAAAUAGAGGAUGUCAGCACCCCAAAAAAUCCUUUUUUCCUUCCGCAAAAGCUGGUUGAAAAUGUCUUCAGCAUGUGAAGAAUGUGUUUGAUUUGCUAUUAAGAACACAGUAAGAAUUCAAAUAAAAGUCACAGACUAAGUCAAGAGCAAAAUUCACCCAGUGUGCAGUUUCGAGAAUAGAUCCACUUUUUCUCCCUCUUUGCUGUGAAAGAAGAUGCAGAAGCAAUGGGAAGACUUCCUUAUGUUUCUCUGGCGAGAAAGACAGAAGCAGCAUGGGAAAACCCUCAGAAGAGCUGUAAACAAAAGGCAGGGUUGUCUUUCAUAAACUUUCAGGAAUGUGACUGUGCAAUUGCACCAUAAAAACUAAUCAAUAUUUCUACAGCACACAGUUAUAGCAGUUUCAUGUCAUUUUAACUGCUACCUACAAAAAUGGGCAUUUGUAUUUUAGACAAUUUGGAGCCAACUCUAAGAAAAAUUCCUGAACUACAGCAUGAUAGCUCUCUGGCAAAGAAUACUAAUUUUUAUUUUAUAAAAUUACAAAUCCCAGGAUUCUGCAGUAUCAAACCCAUCUUAAUUACACACAUGUCUUUAAAACCAUCCCUGUUGAGCACCAUUGGCACUUCUUCAGAGCAGUAAUUCUACUAAUAACUUACUCUUAGAAGAAAGCUAUUGCUUGAGUAUGUUUUAAUGUAUUAUUUUAUGAUUUUAUGUUUAUAUGUUUUAAAUGUAUUUAUGUGAUUGUAUUUUAUUGUGUAUUACUGGCUUGGUCUCCAUGUGAGCCGCCUUGAGUCCCUUCGGGGAGAUGGGGUGGGGUAUAAGAAUAAAGUUAUUAUAAUAAAGUUAUUAUAAGAAUAAACUGCUACCACAUUCACCUACCAUCCACAUGAGAGCUAGUAUUUCUAAGGGCCCUUCCAGACAGGCCCUAUAUCUCAGCAUCUGAUCCCAGGUUUUCUGCUUUAAAUUGGAUUUUAUGAGUCCACACUGCCAGAUAAUCUGGGAUAAACAGAAAACCUGGGAUCGGAUCCUGGGAGAUAGGCCCUGUCUGGAAGGGCCCUAAACCUUUUGGAAUCAGUUAGGGCCCUUCCACGCAGCCAUAGAACCCAGAAUAUCAAGGCGGACAAUCUGCAAUAUCUGCUUUGAACUGGGUUAUCUGAGUCCACACUGUCAUAUAACCCAGUUCAAAGGAGAUAAGGUGGGAUUUUAUACAACUGUGUGGAAGGGGCCUUAGGCACAGCUUUUUAUCAUUUUUCAUUCCUCUGUUUGUCUUUACCUGGAUCUGUUUUAUUCAAUGCAUCACAAAAACAUAGUUCAUCUCUAUACAAGAUUUCUCAAUACUGUUACAGUAGAGUCUAACUUAUCCAAGCUAAACGGGCCAGCAGAAGCUUGGAUAAGCGAAUAUCUUGGAUAAUAAGGAGGGAUUAAGGAAAAGCCUGUUAAACAUCAAAUUAAGUUAUGAUUUUACAAAUUAAGCACCAAAACUUCAUGUUAUACAACAAAUUUGGCAGAAAAAGUAGUUCAAUACGCAGUAAUGUUAUGUUUUAAUUACUGUAGUUACAAAUUUAGCACCAAAAUAUCACGAUAUAUUGAAAACAUUGACGACAAAAAUGGCUUGGAUUAUCCAGAGGCUUGGAUAAGCGAGGCUUGGAUAAGUGAAACUCUACUGUAUUUACAAGCUGUGUAAAUCAGAAGCAGGCAACUUGUGGCUCUCCAGAUAUCAUUGGACUACAACUCUAAUUUGUCAGCGAUGGACGAAGGACACAAGAAGGGCUACAAGUCACCAACCCUUUGUAUAAAUGAUAUCCUUGCCUGAAGUCAGCUCCUAAAGUGAAUGAAUGAAUAUUGGUUAACAUGAAUGUAAAUAAGAUCAGUUGUGGUGUUUUAUUAAUAAAAUAAAUAAAAUAACUACACGUUGGUUACAUCCCAGCUAGACUAUUGUAACGGGCUUUAUGUGGAGCUGCCCCUGAAAACUGCCCAGAAUCUUUAGUUAGUCCAAAGAGCGGCAGCCAGGCUACUUACAGGUCCUGGACCCAGAGAGCGGUCAUCCCCUCUGCUACAGCACUGGCACUGGCUGCCCAUUUGUUUUCGAGCCCAAUUCAAGGUGCUGGUUUUGAUCUUCAAAGCCCUAAACAGUCCAACUCACUUUUCUGACCGCAUCCCUUCCUACCAGCCAGCCUGCUCUUUAAGAUCUUCAGGGGAGGGGCUUCCACCGCUGUGGCAAAUGUGACUGACAUUGACAAGGGAGAGGGCAUUCUCGGUGGCUGCCUCUACCCUGUGGAACACCCUCUCAAAAGAAAUUAAAACAGCUCCCUCCCUUUCUUCUUUUAUUACACCAACUAAAAACCUUCCUGUUUAAACAGGCUUUAGGCAAAAAAAAUAAAUCAGAAGUGACAGGAGAACAUCAUAUGUUAUGGACUGAAGCAAAGUGCAAUAUAUAUCUAGAUAUGAUGCCACAUGAAUGUGAAUGUACAUUGUAGUUGUUUUCUUAAUUUAUUUUAUGAUGCUUAUAUUUAUUAUUGAAGUAAUCUGAUUGCUGUUUAUGUGAUUUUAAUAUGUUGCAAGCUGCUUUGGGUCCCGUUGCGCCCGUACCUUGGGAAGUCAGACUUGGCCACGGUAGUCCACGCUCUGAUUACAUCCCAAAUAGACUACUGCAAUGUGCUCUACGUGGGGUUGGCUUUGAAGAAUGUUCGGAAACUUCAAAUGGGCCAACGGGCAGCAGCCAGAUUGCUCACCGGAGCGGCGUACAGGGAGCACACAACCCCUCGGUACGUCAGCUCUACUGGCUGCCAGUCUGCUCCUGAGCACAAUUCAAAGUGCUUGCUUUAGUCUAUAAAGCCCUAAAUGGUUCUGGCCCAGCUUAUCUGUCCAAACGUAUCUCCCUCUAUGAACCAUCUUGGAGUUUAAGGUCUUCUGAGGAGGCCCUGCUCUCGGUCCUGCCUCCUUCGCAGGCACAAUUGGCGAGGACGAGAGACAAGGCCUUCUUGGUGGUGGCCCCUCAGCUAUGGAAUUCCCUCCCCAGGGAUAUUAGAUCAGACUCCUCCCUCUUGACCUUCUGUAAGAGAGUAAAACAUGGCUUUGUGACCAAGCCAUUGGAGAACUUGUGCAACAGAUAGAUAUGGAAUAAUGUGCAAUGACUAUAGGAACAGCCUGGACUUCUCUUGUGGAUUACAUGAUCAAUUGUGAUUGUAUUGUUUAAAAUAUUUUUAAUUGUUUUAAUAUAUUUUAUUAUUCUAUUUAAAUGUUCGUUUUAAUUUUACAUUGUUUUUAAGGCAUUAAAUAGUUGCCUAUGUGUAAAGCCGCCUUGAAUCUCCUUUGGGGUAGAGAAAGGUGGGGUAGAAAUGUCGUCAAUAAAUAAAAUAAAUAAAUAUUAAAUAAA